rnacentral:piRNA from 1 species
UAAGCGAAUGUGUGAGAGUCAAAAUUAA